rnacentral:rRNA from 1 species
UCAGGUAGGGAUACCCGCUGGAC